AAAUUAAAAUCAGGGCUCUCUUCAUGGUCCGCCGUCCGAGAGUUGAAUACUCAAAAGCACACUUUACACAUUUGAGGCUUGCAACAGGGAAAGGGAUCAGAACACAAAGAUGUCAGAUCAGAGUUAGGAAUUAAGUUUAUAUCGAUCUCGGGAAAAAGUAUUGACGAAACUGUCUGAAAAUUGGAAAACAUGAAACCUUUAGAAUUCAACGAGCAAAAAGCAGUGUUUUGUGCUCAAUUCAAAAGCUCCUACAUUUUUCUGUCCACCCACGCAGAUACGUACUUCGAUUCUACUCGUUUGGUUAGGAUGAUUCUCCCAUCGAAACAAACAAAAUUUUCAUUCCUGUAAACCGACCCUUCGUUUCUAGCCUCAAGCCACCCUGGAUUGGUAAUGUCAAAUGAAAUGUGCUCGACAACUGGAAACUUCCCACGUGGCACAUGGAAGCAGGAGCAAUCGAGUGGAACAGCUUUUUUUGUCAGAAACAAAUUUCGUCGAGGGGAAAAAGGUUAUUGCCUGGAAUUGGAAUCGUGGAUUAAAAGACUGGAACAAACGCAGCCGUUCGCUCGUUCUUCAAAAUCCAAGUGGAAGCUAAAUGGCGGAUUAACAGAAAGGAGUAAUUCGUCGUCGCUUAAAUUCGUGGCAGCGGGCGCUGCGAAAAUUAUCCCCAGAGGUGUUGUUAAUGAAAUCCAGCAGAACCAAAAGUUCUCUCAUAACGAAGCCCCGUUUCUCCAGUAAUUAUUGCUAGGAUAGGAAUAAUUAUGGGAUUAUGAUACUCCUUGGAUCAACGUGGCUGGAAUACGUGACUUAAUAACUCUCUCACGGAACAAAUAACGAUAGUAAGAAGAUAUAUACGGUUCCUAUAAAGCCAGUGUUAUUCUCGCGACCGAAUAAAAUGGAAGGAAAUGUUUCAUUAUGAUUUCUCUCUCUUUAAUAUGCUCAAGUUACCUGGGGAAAAAAUCCAGCCAGCGAAUGGGAAAGGGUAUUACCUGCUUCACGAGAUGAAAUAACGUUGAAAGGUACGUAUUUCGUUACAAAGGAAGCUGUACUAUUAAUAAGAAGAAUAAUUGUCGUAGAUAUGUAUAAAAAGAAAUGUUAUUCCUUAAAAAAUUAAAAUGAGGUUAAAUGAUUGUUAAUUUGGAAGAAACAGUUACAUCUUUGAGAUUAGGUUACAUUACUAAUUCUACUAAUAAAAAAAAAGCAGAACCAUAAUUAAAACCUUCAUAAAACAAGUGGGAAGGUGAAAAAGUCAGAAUAAUAAUAGUACUCCACGUGUUAAAUAAAAAAUUCAACGUACAGUUUUACUCUGUUUAAUAAAUCCUCCUUUUGACAAACCUUUGCAAAUAAACCCCUGUAUAAAAAUGUAUAUAUUGAUUUUAAUACGAAACAUUUAUUCGGAAUCGAUCAAUGUAUGUACAUCUCUUUCAACCUACGCCUCCUGCCUUGGCUAGAGUUACAAUGGUGUUUUGUCAUUGUACUUCUGCAAUCAAAUAAAUAUCAAAGGUCUCGUCCCAUCAAAGAAGUGCUUUUUUACAAUUUUAGAGAAAAAGAGAAAUUUGAGAUCUGCUGGGGCAGCUGAUCUUUCAUAUAUUAAUAAUAACAAUG